CGACAAUGCCUUGAAAAUCAAAGACAUUCAAUAAAUUUUGAUCUAAUAUCCCCAGUUCCCAGUAUCUGCCAUGGGAGAUUUGUGCAGUGGAAACUUUCAAGCACAAGAUACCAUAUGCUGGUAGAGAGGAAUCUGUGCAAUACCACAGGCAUUGGAGACACAGUACCGGAAACAAGCUUGAAGAAUUUCCAACCCAUUGCUAACUUACUCUUCAAGUGAAUGUGUGUAGUGAGCCCAGCAGUACGUUUCAGCCCCAAUGUCUUCUGUCCCCUAGUGGAACUGGAAACAUCAGCUUUGUAUUAAGACAUGUUACAUGGUCUACAAAACUGACUUGGAACGAGGCAACAUCACUUGGGAUUCUGUUUUGGGAACAAAAGUGAGAAGGUCAAAAGAAAAAGCUAGACUCUGGCAGAUCUACAAAGAAAGUUGACUGAGGGGAGUUACAGUCCAGGACAGCACAGGAUAUCAGGAUAUCAUCAACUACCAGAUUCAGAAGGAGAAAAUUCUUGGUGUUGGACCUCAAGUACCUCAGAGCAAAAUCAGAGAAAAAUCAAAAAUAGCAAAAGAGUUAAGUAGUAAAACCUUAUAUAAAGUUUUCAAAUAUCUGUCAACUCAAAAGAAUAUAUGUCCCUCCCUAAUAAACAGAUAUGUGUGGAGAAUGUCCUGAAGAAAGCUUGAAUAACAGCCCUAUUUUUACAAAUUAUUUGUGUAUGUGUGUGUUUAUUCUUUU
rnacentral:lncRNA from 1 species